UUUGUACUCCCAGUGUCCGGAAAUACUUCUGAGGGAAAUGGAUAUAUCUAGAUAUAUUUUAGUUUUAGAUACAUUCAUUUUUAUUCAUUUCGGUGAUAAGUAUUUCCAGACAGAGGGAGUAGUUA
rfam:Hordeum vulgare subsp. vulgare, WGS project CAJW01000000 data, contig: morex_contig_1567617